AUACUUACCUGGUGCCGGGGCCUCGUUGGUCGUUCAGGACGAGUCCCCAGGGCGAAGAGGGGGCAUUGCACUGCGCUGGCGUUGACCCCUGCCACUACCCCAAACUGGGGCUGAUGGGGUUUAAAAUUCUUUAAAUC
rnacentral:snRNA from 1 species